CACAGAUGUGCUGCAGAGCCGUCGGUAGCUUGCUCACCAGCAUGAGCAGCAAGCACCAAAUGACUUAAUUAGGUGGCUAGUAGUGGCUACUAGUAGUGGCUACAUUGUAGUAAUUUAGCUGUCUUCCCAAAUGCGGAGCAACACAGGGAUUCCUACCUCACGACUAGUGCCAGGAUCAUAUUGCUGUGGACAGUGCCAAUGAUAAUCACGAAAUCUAGAGCUACUGGCCACUCACUAUAGGGAGAAGGGAGUAAUCCUGUAUUUGUGUAGAAGAAAAUGGACCCUGGGAGGCGAGGGAGGAAUAGUGAAUAGCAGUGGGCGAUGUUGAAGGCUGAGUUUCUAGCGCUGAUGACAGUUGAGUUUCUCUCUCCUCUCCUAACCCCCAAAAACAACUGCUCCCCGGGUGCCGAUGACGUGGAUUAAGGCAUCCCCCCGCACCUCUCUGAUUCAGAGGGUUGGGUUAAAUGAGGAAGACAAAUUUUGGUUGAAUGCAUUCAGUUGUGCAACUGACUAGAUAUCCCCUUUCCCUCUACUGCAAAACCAAACUGCUGUUUGUCAGGCUAGGGAGGCAGCAGACUCAUAGCAAGGCACUUAACUCUAAUUGCUUCAGGGCGAUGUACUGUAUAAUGGUGACCCUGGCCGUGACCCCACUCCCUGUGGGUGUCUCAGGGGGAGUUGAGACAUGCAACAACAAAAAAACAUUUCCAUUACACACUUGUAACAGGACAAAUUAAAGCACCACCCAAAUUAUUAUUAUUUUAUUAUAGCAGCAGUGUCAUUCUACAUCUCUCGCUCUCUGCACCUGUUAGUGUGUGGGUAGCACUCUUCUGCAGUCAAUUACCAAAAGCACCCUCUUUGGUCUCAUGGGUGGAAUGAUUCAUAUUUUUCAUCAUUUCAUAACUAAUAAAGUUUUAUUUAAUUAA